AGCAGUAGCCGCGGUAGUACGUAUGGGGCGAGCGUUGUCCGGAAUUAUUGGGCGUAAAGGGUACGUAGGCGGUUUUCUAAGUCAGGUGUGAAAGCGUGAGGCUUAACCUCAUUAAGCACUUGAAACUGGAAGACUUGAGUGAAGGAGAGGAAAGUGGAAUUCCUAGUGUAGCGGUGAAAUGCGUAGAUAUUAGGAGGAAUACCGGUGGCGAAGGCGACUUUCUGGACUUUUACUGACGCUCAGGUACGAAAGCGUGGGGAGCAAACAGGAUUAGAUACCCCCGUAGUCCCUGUCUCUUAUACA
rnacentral:rRNA from 1 species